rnacentral:rRNA from 1 species
CAGCAGCCGCGGGAAUACGUAGGGUGCGAGCGUUAAUCGGAAUUACUGGGCGUAAAGCGUGCGCAGGCGGUUCGUUAAGACAGAUGUGAAAUCCCCGGGCUUAACCUGGGAACUGCAUUUGUGACUGGCGAGCUAGAGUAUGGCAGAGGGGGGUAGAAUUCCACGUGUAGCAGUGAAAUGCGUAGAGAUGUGGAGGAAUACCGAUGGCGAAGGCAGCCCCCAGGGCCAAUACUGACGCCCAUGCACGAAAGCGUGGGGAGCAAAUGGGAUUAGAUACCCGCGUAGUCCCUGUCUCUUAUAC